rnacentral:misc_RNA from 1 species
ACGAGUCUGGGUCCCUCGGGGCCCGAUCUCCCACCCUUUGUCGUCGCGAAUCAGUUGCCUCGGCGGCGCGUCGCCCCCUCGGGGGGGACGGCGGGCUCCGGCCCACGCCGCCGCGGGACCAUUUCAAACCCUUGCUUUUAAACAAUGCGGUCUGAGAAGAUUUUUAAAUGAAAUCA